rnacentral:rRNA from 1 species
GACGAACGCUGGCGGCAGGCCUAACACAUGCAAGUCGAGCGGUUGACGGGAGCUUGCUCCCUGAUUCAGCGGCGGACGGGUGAGUAAUGCCUAGGAAUCUGCCUAUUAGUGGGGGACAACGUUUCGCAAGGAACGCUACUACCGCACACGUCCUACGGGAGAAAGCAGGGGACCUUCGGGCCUUGCGCUAAUAGAUGAGCCUAGGUCGGAUUAGCUUGUUGGUGAGGUAAUGGCUCACCAAGGCGACGAUCCGUAACUGGUCUGAGAGGAUGAUCAGUCACACUGGAACUGAGACACGGUCCAGACUCCUACGGGAGGCAGCAGUGGGGAAUAUUGGACAAUGGGCGAAAGCCUGAUCCAGCCAUGCCGCGUGUGUGAAGAAGGUCUUCGGAUUGUAAAGCACUUUAAGUUGGGAGGAAGGGUUGUAGAUUAAUACUCUGCAAUUUUGACGUUACCGACAGAAUAAGCACCGGCUAACUCUGUGCCAGCAGCCGCCGUAA